CCCUAGUAACUGCGAGUGAAGCGGGAAAAGCUCAAAUUUAAAAUCUGGCGGUCUCUGGCCGUCCGAGUUGUAAUCUAGAGAAGUGUUAUCCGCGCUGGACCGUGUACAAGUCUCCUGGAAUGGAGCGUCAUAGAGGGUGAGAAUCCCGUCUUUGACACGGACUGCCAGGGCUUUGUGAUGCGCUCUCAAAGAGUCGAGUUGUUUGGGAAUGCAGCUCUAAAUGGGUGGUAAAUUCCAUCUAAAGCUAAAUAUUGGCGAGAGACCGAUAGCGAACAAGUACCGUGAGGGAAAGAUGAAAAGAACUUUGGAAAGAGAGUUAAACAGUACGUGAAAUUGCUGAAAGGGAAACGCUUGAAGUCAGUCGCGUUGGCCGGGAAUCAACCUUGCUUUUGCUGGGCGUACUUUCCGGUCGACGGGUCAGCAUCAAUUUUGAUCGUUGGAUAAAGUCUGGAGGAAUGUGGCAUCUUCGGGUGUGUUAUAGCCUCUGGUCGCAUACAACGGUUGGGAUUGAGGAACUCAGCACGCCGCAAGGCCGGGUACUCGUACCACGUUCGUGCUUAGGAUGCUGGCAUAAUGGCUUUAAUCGACCCGUCUUGAAACACGGACCAAGGAGUCUAACAUGCCUGCGAGUGUUUGGGUGGAAAACCCGAGCGCGUAAUGAAAGUGAAAGUUGAGAUCCCUGUCGUGGGGAGCAUCGACGCCCGGACCAGACCUUUUGUGACGGUUCCGCGGUAGAGCAUGUAUGUUGGGACCC
rnacentral:rRNA from 1 species